rnacentral:rRNA from 1 species
AGCUGAGAUACAUACAUAUAUAUACUUCCAGCGUCCAUAUGGGCAGAAUAUGUGAAGGAGCUAGCAUCGGACAAGUUGGAUUGCAGAUACACAGAUUGAUCAAGGAGUAGCCACACAAGUUGGCCCAUCGAUCCACCAUGACCAGCUCGGAAAUCCUCUGUGAACGACCGAAGUGGAUAUAUAAUAAUCAAUGGCGUGGAGCCUAGGAUCUCAGCGCCAAGAAAUCGUGUCACACAAUGGACACGCUCAUCAGCCACCACCUCAUUCGCGAUUGAUCAGCAAACUGGAGGAAUCUGAUGGAACAUUAUUAUGCCUAAUAGUAGCAACCUGCAAACUCGUCAGCAGUGCCUGCAAUUUCCAUGUGUUUCUAUUAAGUGAUGAUGGUUUUACCCACAAAGAAAUCACUGAGUUGGUGGCUGGCACAAUGGUGGUUGCUAUUUGCUACCCCUAUAUACUUCUGAAAUGGCACGAAUUGAUCUUCCCGAACUUGACACCCUUGAAGUCGUGGGUCGCAUGGCGUCCUAACGUCAGGAUUUUCAGAGACACAGGCGUUCUUGUGAUUAUUUCCUACCUGCUAUUGCUGGACAUCAAUUGGAGAUUCCUCUUACUUGCCAUCUUUCCUAUUAUGGCCAUUACUUUCAUAGGAGCACUGUACUUUAAGCUCAAUCGUUGUACUGGCGACAUUGGUCGUAAAGUUACUCCACAAUCUUCUAUGGUCGAUGAGAAUACCAUCAUCAAGACACCUAUGGAGCUGGAGAUCAUAGUGGUGGUGACGUUCGGGGCGCUGUUGGUGAUGGAUCAACUUGACGAUGGUGCAGCUAUGGGCUUCGCCAUCACACAGUUUCUCUUGUUCCUGAGCUCCACUGUGGCGGCAUUGACGCGCAUGAUGAUGAAGCUGCCUACUGAUCCUUUUCCGGGCAGUGCACCGGCGUCAGAGUUGCUCCACAAGACCUUGCUUCUACUUCUACUGGUGACGGCACACACAUUGGCCGCGGAGUGGCUGGGCGAGGAUGUGGUUCUGUUCUGCAUGCCGGAGGUUGUUCCGGUGCUCCUCUGGUACAGCCUUCACCUCGACCGCCCACACCACCACCCACUCAUCAGCGUCGACAAAAUGAAGCCACGCAUGAAGGGGCUCAUUGCCCUAUCUACACUGGUGGUAUUUCCUCUUUUCGCAUACAUGGUGAACUCCAUGGAUGUUUCUGGGCUCUCCUGGUGCACGAGGAUCAUGGUGUCAUGUGGCGUCUCAGGGGUUCUGACCUACUACCUUGUGUUCAUGCUACGCUACUGGCAUUGGCCGUGGAAAAGAGAAGCAGCAGCCGCUGGCCGCAGCAAGGACGAUGUGGUUUCCUCCGGCAUGCUCAAGUUUUUGGCAAAUGUUUUACUCAUAACGGCGGCAUUGCUGCUGCUGCUAAGGUAUAUGGUUUCUGUCCGGCUUGGUCUGCAACCAUCAUUGGUUGGUAUGCUACAUUUAAAUUCGCAACGACUAAGCUAGUACUUCUACUGUAUCGUAAUUGUUGGAUGUGUCUCUCUGUACUACUAUAGUACACCAAUUUUUAACCUAGUUUAGCCUCCACAGUGAUGCAGAAGCACUUGUUGGCCGUUGAAUUCUUCCAUAGGAUGAAUUACCGCCGUUUAUCAACGUUGAACCCAACUGAUCAAAUGGUCGUUGUUUCUGGGAUUCGCUUGGCAGGCCGCACGCCAAAAGGAGGGCAAGAAAAUCUUUCUAGAGUCAACUGUACCUGCACACCUGCAUUAAUACGAUCUUGAUCUGUCGGUGAUGAGAAAACUUUUCGCCCAAGAUCUUCUGCGUAAGCAUGUUUUGUGAAGUACCCAUCCUGUAACUGUAAGACACAACGUGCAUAGCAGGCACCUUGUACAAAAAGUCACUUUGGAGGACGAGCUCUAGGGAGCCCUAUAUUUUGAAUAGUGUCAAAAUUGUAUUUUGAACUUUAAAAAAAGUCAGAAAAACUAUGAGAUGGUUGGAGUAGAUGAAGUUGUCGGUGAAGAUGGCGGUGACAGUGACACUGGCGAUGAGCUACUAGUCCGUUUAGGACCAGUACGGAGACGUGGGAGUUUGCAUUAGAAGGUCAAGUCGGAGUAAACAUUAGUAAUCUGACUAGACUCCGACUUUGUUUCUUUUCUUUUCUUCAUGCGGUGGACCACCGCCGAAUCUCGGGCUAAAUCGGCGGUGGUACUAUUUCCUCUUUGUUUCUUUUCUUCUUUUCUCACAGUAUAAUCUGAUAGCCAUGCUGUGUAAUCUCGGGCUCCUCAUGCCGAGGAAAACAGCGACACUGCCGUGGACCACCGCCGAAUCUCGGGCUCCUCAUGCCGAGUUUAGAACUCCUU